GUAGGUGGCAAGCGUUGUCCGGAAUUAUUGGGCGUAAAGCGCGCGCAGGCGGUUCUUUAGGUCUGAUGUGAAAGCCCACGGCUCAACCGUGGAGGGUCAUUGGAAACUGGAGAACUUGAGUACAGAAGAGGAAAGCGGAAUUCCACGUGUAGCGGCGAAAUGCGUAGAGAUGUGGAGGAACACCAGUGGCGAAGGCGGCUUUCUGGUCUGUAACUGACGCUGAGGCGCGAAAGCGUGGGGAGCAAACAGGGAGUAGAUACCCUGGUAGUCCACGCCGUAAACGAUGAGUGCUAAGUGUUAGGGGGUUUCCCGCCCCCUUAGUGCUGCAGCUAACGCAUUAAGCACUCCGCCUGGGGAGUACGGCCCGCAAGGCUG
rnacentral:rRNA from 1 species